rnacentral:rRNA from 1 species
UGCGAACUCCUACGGGAGGCAGCAGUGGGGAAUUUUGGACAAUGGGGGCAACCCUGAUCCAGCAAUGCCGCGUGAGUGAAGAAGGCCUUCGGGUUGUAAAGCUCUUUUGUCAGGGAAGAAACGGUAGUAGCUAAUAUCUAUUACUAAUGACGGUACCUGAAGAAUAAGCACCGGCUAACUACGUGCCAGCAGCCGCGGUAAUACGUAGGGUGCAAGCGUUAAUCGGGAUUACUGGGCGUAAAGCGUGCGCAGGCGGUUGUGUAAGUCAGAAGUGGAAUCCCCGGGCUCAACCUGGGAAUUGCAUUUGAGACUGCACGGCUAGAGUGUGACAGAGGGGAGUAGAAUUCCACGUGUAGCAGUGAAAUGCGUAUAUAUGUGGAGGAAUACCGAUGGCGAAGGCAGCCACCUGGGAUAACACUGACGCUCAUGCACGAAAGCGUGGGGAGCAAACAGGAUUAAAUACCCGUGUAGUCCAGAUG